rnacentral:rRNA from 1 species
AUUGAACGCUGGCGGCAGGCUUAACACAUGCAAGUCGAGCGGGGGAAGGUAGCUUGCUACUGGACCUAGCGGCGGACGGGUGAGUAAUGCUUAGGAAUCUGCCUAUUAGUGGGGGACAACAUCUCGGAAGGGAUGCUAAUACCGCAUACGUCCUACGGGAGAAAGAAGGGGAUCUUCGGACCUGGCGCUAAUAGAUGAGCCUAAGUCGGAUUAGCUAGUUGGUGGGGUAAAGGCCUACCAAGGCGACGAUCUGUAGCGGGUCUGAGAGGAUGAUCCGCCACACUGGGACUGGGACACGGCCCAGACUCCUACGGGAGGCAGCAGUGGGGAAUAUUGGACAAUAGGGGGAACCCUGAUCCAGCCAUGCCGCGUGUGUGAAGAAGGCCUUAUGGUUGUAAAGCACUUUAAGCGAGGAGGAGGCUACUUUAGUUAAUACCUAGAGAUAGUGGACGUUACUCGCAGAAUAAGCACCGGCUAACUCUGUGCCAGCAGCCGCAGUAA